GUGACCCCCCCCCCUCCCUCUCUCUCUCUUCGACAGAUGUCCCUUCGAAUCAGUCAGUGAGAAAUACGUUUUACAUCGUGCACAACAAUUUCAAGUGAAGCAAGAUCAGACAUAGCAGCAUUGCAAGACAGAAUAAACUUCUAACUUAUGUGUAUUUGGACAGCCAACUGUUGUGAAGUGGGCUCCUUCAACCUGCUGCAUUAUAGUCCAAGAAAGGACAAACCUCCUUUAAACUUCCCCUCAGUGUCGAGGCAUUGCUCUUGGGUUCUCUCUUUGUUCCUUGGCAUUGAUCUCGUCUCUCUGAUCUUUUGGGUGGAUCAAUUUCCAGACGUAGGCCGAUAUCGACGAUUAGUUGAUUUUGGAAUGAGGUUGCAGCUCCCAGAUUAUCACUCUGGUCUGGUAGUACUGAAAGCGUUGCUAAGAUUCAUGGGUUUUCCGAGCAUUUGAAUGCUUCCCAGUCUAUCUACCAUUUCUUCAUUUCUUCUGCUGGGUAAUACACCAAUAGGUCCAAUACCUCUUAAGCUUCCCAUCAAAAUCAUAAUGUGCAACAAAGCACCUACCCAAACAUCAACAAUCCGCGAAACCCAUACCAGAUCAAAAUUAAUUUCCUACAAGUCCCUACCACCACAGGAAUACUCAGCAAGCUCCAUACCGAAACAUCACCGCCCAGCAAGCUGCCUAUAAGAUUGUCCGGGGACAAGGAUUUCGUCUACCAAUCACAGCUGCUCUCCAUGCACCUUUUUACAACCAUGCUAGUGCUGGAGGAGCCACUCACCCAUCUAUUGGUGAUCUUUUAUGGGUGUUUCUCUCUAAAUUGUACAAAUAGUAGUACAUUUAUUUUACAUUACCAGGGUUAUAUGCUUCAGAGGCCCCAUGCAUAAUGAGAGGAUAAGACGAAGACUAGCUAGCAACAGAGGUUUCCCGUGGGGGGAUAGUCACCUCUCAUGCUCAAAAUGGUUAGUGGUGCUCCUCCCACUCUACCACUUGGAGAUGCAACUUGUGGCAAACUCCCGUCUAGAAUUCCAGGAAGUGUUUGAUAUGUUUUCCAAUAUGAAAAAUCCUUCAUAUUCCCACGGAAGAAGUCUCUGCUAUCUCCAAAUUAUUACAUCCUUACGUCACCACAGGGGGCGCACCAUCCCUGGUUUUUUUUUUUUGAUCUGCACCAUCCCUGGUUGUUUCAGUAUUGCAAUGCAUCAUGACAUAAUAAAAUUAGGACAAAACUCUUCCAUAAUGGGCAAUGUAUGUCAACGAUGAAACCAAAGCGUAUCAGAGCAGAAGUGGCUGACAUUUUGACUUUGUACCACUGUCCAUAUAUGUCCAUUAGGAAAGUGACACCGAAUCAUUCGAUGGGAACGUGCCCGCAACAGAUACGAUGAUUUUCCUUUAUAUACCGAUAGCUAUCGUGAAUGGGUUUUAAAGUCAAUUUCCACAUCUGUUUUACCCUUAUAUCACUCUAGUCAGAACCCAAAGUCACCAAAGGGAUAUGAUGGAGAGCAAGACAAAGUUCUCACAAUUUGAAUGGUCAUGUAAUUUAAGAGGAUCUUUUGUGUAUUGCAUCUAUAGCUGUUUAGUAGAUUAGUGAAGUUGAUCCCUGACUAGUUAUUCCAUUCAUAUAUCCUUUCUAGGGGUGUGUAUAGUAGUCGUUCCCAUGAGUCUACAUCUCACGCUUAUGUGUACACUUUUUUCUUUUUUUUUUAUUAAAGAGCUAGUCUUAAUCCGAAAUAGUCAAUUACCACCUUUUCACCCCAAAAUUUUAGCAAAUUAAUCAAUUGAAGCAUCUAGUUUAGCUAAAGAUCCUAGAUUAAAUUACCAAAAGAGUGGGUCAAAUAAUGUUGACCUUCAUAUUAUUCUGUAUGCACUUGUUAUAAUUAAGUAGGGUCUUAGGUUUAAAAAUAAUUUGAUACUCAAUGAGGGAUUAUGCUACUUUGCAUAGUCAUCAAGAUUCUCAUUAAAUGUAGUGGGGUGGUUUUGAUGUUACACCACAGUACUACUUUUUAAUUAAAUACUAAUGAUGAUGAUGAUUCUUGUGAGGAAAAUUGUGUGGGAAAAAAAAAGUGCAGAUCUCAUUUAGAGUGACGUGGUAGGUGUAUUUUUGAAAAUUUAAUCUAUACCGUAAGUGUUUUUGUUUGAAUUGACAGAUCAGAGAAUGAUCGCCGGUUCAUCUAAAUGAAAAUUACGCAUAAAAAUACUCUAUCAGUAGUUGGAACUAGCGUUGAGCUUUGUUACCAAUGCCUUGGAUUGUGCUUUGGUAGAUUCAGAAUGCAGAAAAAAAAAUGAAAAAAAUAUACAUAGCACGAUCACAUAGGGAUAUUAUAUUUACGCAGUUCAUCGAAUGCUAGAUACAUUUGAAUGCCUAUGAUAAGGAAUUAUGGGAUACAUUGAAGUUUUCUUAAUUACUGCAAUAUAUAGCUAGAGUUAAUUAGAAUUGAGGGACUCAUAGACUCUCCACUCCAUAAGAAGCAAAAGAGAUUGUUUAAAAUACUAGACUGGCUGUGUUUGCUUUUAUACUAGAAUUUAUUUCUCCAUUAACAACCAAAAAUAAAUAUAGCAAAAAAGUGGGUUUUCUGAAUCUACUUCUUGAGGUUUAAGUCACCAAGUGGUCUAAAGAAUUCGAAAAAUAUUGACCCCUUGUUUAUUUUGUAUAAUGGCUGCUGGGAGUAUCAUCACUUAGAAGUAUCCAGAAAUGAUUAGCACUUCACGAUAUGGACAGACAGAUAAUAUUAAAAAUUAAUCACUACUUUAGUAGAAAAAUAAAAUAAAAUUUGUCUUUAGGCAGCUUGUAAGGAAGGGGUUGAUCUGAACUAAAUAUGACAUUGUUUCUGUACACCUUUUAUUAUUAGUUCUGGGUAGGAUGUUGAGGUGGUGGUGAUGGUGGAGCAUAAUUUGAUUUGUACCGUGCAAUUUUUGUACCUUUAUCUUGCCAUGAAAAUGAUUGCUCAAGGUCCAUAGGAAAAAAGUUUUAGAGGAUUGGUACAAUACAUGGACCAUUCAUUUCCAUUCAUAGACACUUUCAUGGACCGAGUUUCAUGUAUCCUAUCAUUUUUGAAAGUUUUAUUAUCUCUUGUUGACCCUCAGUCCCUACCUAUGGAUGUGAAGCCCACAGGACAUAGCUAGGGCCCUCCACUGAGAGAGAGAGAGAGA